GUUUUUGUUUUUGUUUAUGUUGUGUUCCUACUAAGUUUUUACUGUGUAUACCUUAUGUAUUCAUCACAUUUUUUUAUUCCUUCUGCACGUUACAUGUAUUCAUAUUAUAACUUUAAAAUGUACAUAACUAUUUGGAUACUAAUAGAAAUUAAUAAUCUUAGAUUAUUAGGUAACUCAACUAUUAAAGAUUAACAUCAAAUUUUUGGGAUUUACCAUCUAUUUUAUCUGACUGCCUUUAAAAUGUAUUCUGGAAUAACAGUUAAUUCCAUCACUUUCAACAUUAGUACAAUACCAAAUCUUACUAUCGAAACGGAGUUAUCCUUUUCUUUGAGUAAACAUUUAUAAACUAAUUACAAAUAAGAAAAAAAAAUAUAUUUCGCACAUAACUUUUUAAAAUUAAGCUAAUUGAGUAUAGAAUUUAUUUUAUAUUCCAUUAUUAAUAUGGCCGCCAGUUAUAUAAAAAUUAGAAUCAAGUACCGACAUAUAUUUAUUUAUAAAACACUUUAAUAAUUAAUAACUUAUCUAAUCCUUCAGUGGUGGUGACUCCUAAAUUCCUUGGAUAUACUCCAAUAUAAUUAUGUUCUUUGGCUCCACAUCCAACCAACAGUAAAUUUAGUACCACAAAGAUAAUUUUUCUUUGAGUACCAUGGUUUCCACUGAUUGAUCUGUUUCACUAUCAGUAGGCUGAUUCGCUUACUUUCUUUCUGAUCUCAAAUUCCAUUUGCUGCCAUUGUAUCUUCUCACGUAUCUUCUUUUACUACUUAAUGCAGUGCCAUUAUAGAAGUUCUUACCCGUAUUAGUCCUCAUGCAUCUGGACACUACAUUAUAAUCUCUGGUUCUCAAGCUAACCUUUUAGCUAUAGCUGACAAUACCUUCCUUACCAAAUGUUCCCCCAUCGUUUUAAAAAUCCAUUCUUCACAUCGGUGUCUAUUUUCAUCUCAUUGAAUUCCCAGGCAUAUUGAUAUUAUUGGCAACUAAGACACUGAUUCCCCCUGGCUAGCUACACUUUAACAACUAUUUUAUUUCAGGUAUCCCAGUGCCCUUAUUUUAAUGAAUUUUUGCCACUCAACGAUAAUCCACCCAUUAACUUUGAAAUCUUAAAUGGGAACAUUUUCUAAAAUACUUAAUUUCUGUAUUUAAUUUCUCUUAAAAUGUCCAUUCGUUCAUUGGUUUACGCCUUAAAGAUUAGUACAUUCCAGAAUCUUGUACCUCAUCACUUGUUUGAUUUGUGGAUGAAUAGUUCUAUUCUCUCUUAUUGCGAUUAUUGUCAUGUAACUUUCAUUAUGUAUUAAUCUGCUCUUUUUUCAAUUGAAAAAAUCUUGUUUCCUCUUGCUUUCAAUUUCUCUUAUACAAAUGCUCUUUUUUCCAACAAUGUCACUCUUUAAAAUUUUCUACACUUCAUCCUCCAUACAGAUUAUAAUAUUUGAAAAAGUAUGGGUUUAGCAUUUUUUUCCCUGUAAAAUGGUUAGGAUACAAUCAUUUUUGUUGAAUUUUUUUAAAAAAAAUACAAACUUUUCUUAUAUUUUUUUUAGCAUACAUUUUGGUCCGACAGUAAAACCUCUUAUAUAUUUUUAUGCAUUAAUUUUAUUAUUGAUAUUGUACUGUUAUUGUAGUAUAAGUUAUAGUGAUUAAACUGAACUCUGUAUGUUUAUUAAAUUUAUUGUAAGACGUCCAUAAAAGAAUAAUAACCGUUUUAUAUAUUAAAAAGAUAAGCAUGUAGUAAAUUUAGUAUUUUAUUUUAAUUUCUUAUACUUAACAAAUGUAUCUAAAAUUCUUACAGUUAAAUAUGUAAAUUAGUUUUAGCAUUUUUUUAGAAACAAGAAAUUUACAAUUUUUAUAUGUUUGUCUACCUAAUAUUUUUAAUAUGUCUAUUAUUUAAUGUUAAACAAAUACUGAAUACAUUAUUUUUCUGUAUAAUUAUAAUAAAGGGGAAAACAUGUGGGUAUUUUAAGUUUUUUUUGUUUUUACAGUAAAUUGUUUUAGUUUAAAUACCACUUUAUAUACAAGUACAAGUCAAGCAUGUGGCUAUGCAUAUUUAAUGGGAUGUGUUUUAAUUUAAUAUUAAAAUAUAACUUAGGAGUGGGAAGGCCGUUUACACAUCUUAUAUAUUUGAUUAUACUGCCGAGGGAGGCAACCAAUCCAAAACACCACCCCUCUCCCUUGACUACGUGCCUGGUACAAGUAAUAUAAAAAUAUUUGGAAUAAACCAUAAAUUUGUAUUAUAAACAUUUAAUGGUGGAAGUAUUUAUAAAUCAACCAAACCAAUAUAUAAAUAAAUAAUAUAUAAUCAAAAAAUGCUUUUGUUUACAAUUUUUUUUUUUGUGGUAGGGGUUGUCUGAAACCCGAAAACCUCCUUGUAUAUUCCCAAGGUUAUUUAUAAAUGUCCAAAUGCUGGCUGUAAUCGGUCAUAUAAAACAAAACCAGGAAUAUAUACUCAUUUAAAGGAUGAAUGUGGUGUAGAACCUAAAUUUCGAUGUAAGCAUUGUUUGAAAGCAUUCAAACGAAAAUGGUCAUUCCAAUCUCAUAUACUACAUGUGCACAGAUCACUAAUUGCGUUUAACAAAGAAAUGGUUUGCAAUGAAGAGACACCAAUGAUCUUUGGCUCUUAAGACGAUUCAAAACACACAUAAUUAAGAUAAUUUACAUUGUUAGACAUUUUCAUAGUUUGUUAAAAUAUAAAUGUAUUUCUUUAUGAAUUGACUUUUCAAGUCUUAUAGUUGGUUUUAAUGGAACUAGAUAAGUACAUAAUUAAACUAUUUUUAAAUUUUCCGUGUUUUAAAUAUUUAAUGUAUGUGUAAAAGGCUAUAAAACAGAUCAAUAUUGUAACAAAAUUAUGUUUCACUAGAUGUAUCUUCUACCUACAAUCAUAAUGUUUUAAACAAUUGUUAUAGUAUAAAAUCUAAUUUGUCUUUUAAAUGUAAUUUUUUUGUUGAUAAAUAUAUAAUUUUAUAUUAGUAUAUUAGUUAGAUUAUUGAAAGUAGAGGUUGAUUUAAAUGAACUAGUAAAAUGUACAAGUUAUCCAUGUACAAUUAAAUCAAUAAAUUAAAUACAUAUUUUUGAUUAUAUUUUAACAGUGUAUACUUGCUUCCCAAUAUGUUGUAUUUUAUUUUAAUUAUUUGCAUGUAUUUUAAAUUAAUUAUAUUUGUAUUCAUAUACACCAUACAAAUUAAGUGUACUAUGUUUAAUAUAGAUACUAGAUAGUUAACCUAUACUUAGUUGAACUAUUAUGAAAUCAUAUUAUAUUAAUUGUCUUACCUCAUCAACUUAUAGAAUAUAUAAAUGCAUUUUUAGAUGAUGAAGAUGUAUUUUUCUGUACCAACAAAUGUGGCCGAAAAUAUAAGUCAAAAACAGCGUUGUAUACUCAUCUUAAAUAUGAAUGUGGAGUAGACCCACAAUUUCACUGUCAAGUGUGUCAUAAAAGUUAUAAGCAUAAAUGUACGUUUAAAGUUCAUAUGAUUCGAGAUCAUGGGAUUGUGUUGUAAUAAUAUUGCAAUUAUACAAAACCAGGGUUGGGCAAGUUACUCAAUUUAUUUGUGGAAACCUUUUAAUUUGUAACAAGCUACAAGUUACAAGCGAAAUUAAAAAUGAAUAACUUGUUACAACUUACAAAAAGAACAGAGUUACAUUACUUAGUUACACGUAACUAUGAUUUGCCCAAUCCUGCACACAACAUAACUUAAAAUUUGUAUUUAGUAAAAUUCAUAUAAUUCUAUGUAUUUUAAUUUUAACACAAUUAUAAGUAAUUACUUAUGAAAAGUAAUUUAGAUACUAUACUCUGUUCAACAUGAGAUGAUGACUCGGCCGCGACCAGUUUUCAUCAGGCGGUGGUCAGAAAUAUGGUAAGACGCCGUCCCCACUAUGGCGACGCGUCUGGCGCUGGCACGGAACAAAGCCAUGCCCAUGCGCACAACUCGGCCGCCUGGCCAUCUUCUCAUUUUGAACAGAGUAUAGUUGGAAUAUAUUAUUAGGUACCUACUUUAAUUUAUUAUUUGUCUUUUGGGACUAGUCCAAUGUCUGAUCUACCAACAAACGGCUAUCUACAAUGAAGCAUUAUAGGUAGAACGUGCAAUCUACUGAUAACUGAUAUUUACAUUAUAUGUAAUAGUACUUUAAUGAUAUUAAUAUGAUAUCUGUUUAAUAAUUAAUUAAUUGCACUACAACAACAAAACAUAAUUAUGAAUGAUGUAAAUUGUAUUGAGUAUUACAACCUUUUAAUUAAGAAUGGUCAUAAAAGUAUCAUUUCUUGUAAAAGAAUAUUGAUUGCAAUUAAUGUAGUGGAUAAUUACAUGAAAUGAUAAGGACCAGUAAUAAAAAUAUUUGGGCAACACUUUUAAAAAAAUGUGACAGGUACUAAAAAAUGAUGCCAGACAAAUAAUUCACGCUGGAAAUCCAAUUUUUACUUGCAAUGUUAUAGUAUUUUUGCUCUAAUGAAAAUAAUAAGACUUGUCUGGUAUUGGGCUAACUAAUAAAUGAAUGGUGUAGCAAUUGUUUAACUUAAUAAAAAUUUUAAUAUUUGAUGAUUUUUUAUCAGAUUUAAAGAUAAACUUAAUAAGUAACAUUUUAGUAAAGAUGUGACUAUUUUGAAUAUCAUUUAUAAAAAGUUAGUCGGUAGAUCACACGUUCAACUAUAAAUUUGUCGGUAGAUAACACAUUGCACCAAUCCCUACAUGCCUCGGUGGCUAACUUCUGUGCAUGACCAUGGCUUUGUUCGCAAGCACUGGCCUUGCUCGUCAAUUUGGUGGGGGAAGCAUUUGAUAAUGCAUCUAUCACGGACGAAAACUGGUCGCCGCCAAGAUGGUUGGGUUAUAGAAACCGAUGUCUUGGGUUGUUUAUUCUACUGUCCAAAAAUGUGUGGUCGUAAAUAUAAAUCAAAAAGAGCUGUAAAACUACAUAUGAAGUACGAGUGUGGGGUCAAACCUCAAUUUCAAUGUAAUAUUUGUGGUAAAAACUUUAAGCAACCAAUUCACCAUAAAAGUCAUAUGCUUGCUAUUCAUAAGAUUAUUGCAAUAAAUAAAUAUAAAUAAUUCUAUAGAAAAAAUAAAAUAAAUACA
rnacentral:misc_RNA from 1 species